CACGUAGGGGGCGAGCGUUAUCCGGAUUCAUUGGGCGUAAAGCGCGCGCAGGCGGCCGCUCAAGCGGGACCUCUAAUCCGGGGGCUCAUCCCCCGGCCGGGUCCCGAACUGGGCGGCUCGUGUCCGGUAGGGGAGGUCGGAAUUCCCGGUGUAGCGGUGGAAUGCGCAGAUAUCGGGGAGAACACCGAUGGCGAAGGCAGACCUCUGGGCCGCGACAGACGCUGAGGCGCGAAAGCUAGGGGAGCGAACA
rnacentral:rRNA from 1 species